rnacentral:rRNA from 1 species
AGUAACGCGUAGGUAACCUGCCUGGUAGCGGGGGGUAACUAUUGGAAACGAUAGCUAAUACCGCAUAAGAACAUUUACUGCAUGGUAGAUGUUUAAAAGGUGCAAAAGCAUCACUACCAGGUGGACCUGCGUUGUAUUAGCUAGUUGGUGAGGUAACGGCUCACCAAGGCAACGAUACAUAGCCGACCUGAGAGGGUGAUCGGCCACACUGGGACUGAGACACGGCCUAG